CCAACCCAUCCCACUCCACUCCCAACCCCUUCCACACUUCACUUCUCAACCCUUCACUCCCAUCAUUCUUAUGGGGGGCUGAUGUACGGACCGUCUCUACUUCUUCAUUUUCACCAAUCUCCUCGUCGCCGUGGUAACCACCAACCUGGAGGAAAAGAUGGCCGACUAUGACGAAAAGAACUCUUAAGAGUGUUCGCUGGCUAGCGUUCUCCCACAGAUUAUACCGGAAGAUACGGGAGUCCUGAUGGACCAGGGCAGAGGUGGUGACCAAGACCAACAUGGCCCGGCACCAGAAGACCUGGAAGAACCUGACCAUGGACACCUUGGAGAAGCUGGCCCUUGCCAGUACAAGAGUAUAGUGGAGGGGGUGCACAGCCUGUCGUUCAACAUACAGCAAGAGGUGAUGAUGAGGAACCAUAUGACUGCAACCCUCCAGGACAAACUAUUGAAUAAUGAUAUUGCCACCGGCCAUACUGGAGACAUCCUGUCCACCCUCAUCACCCUGGAGAAGGUAAGAAGGCAGUGGACAUGGCACCAUUCCCCAUAUAGUGCACUAAUUUUGAUCAGAGCCUUAUGGGUGCUCAAUAGAUUCAAUGACUCUUCCUGGAGUUGUCUAUAACCUUAUAUUUACUGUUCUGUUACUAAUGUCAGUUGUGUGUCAAGCUCAUCAAAUCCAAUGUAUUUAUAAAGCCCUUUUUACAUCAGCAGAUGGCACAAAGUGCUUAUACAAUAACCCAC